UACGUAGGGGGCAAGCGUUGUCCGGAAUCAUUGGGCGUAAAGAGCGUGUAGGCGGUCCGGUCAGUCGGUUGUGAAAGUCAAGGGCUCAACCCUUGAAUGCCGGCCGAUACUGCCGGGCUAGAGUCCGGAAGAGGUGAGUGGAAUUCCUGGUGUAGCGGUGAAAUGCGCAGAUAUCAGGAGGAACACCGAUGGCGAAGGCAGCUCACUGGACGGUACUGACGCUGAGACGCGAAAGCGUGGGGAGCAAACAGG
rnacentral:rRNA from 1 species